rnacentral:lncRNA from 1 species
AUAAUAUUGCUUAUCAAUUCAAUUAGUAUCAAUGAUCAUUAUUCUUGCAAAACACUUCUGAACUCCCCAAAGUCUUGGGCAGGGUGCACCUACACAUUUCCCUAAAGCAUCCCAGAUCUGCUCAAUAGGGAUAAGGUCAGGAGCCUUGGCUGGUCAAUCCAUAUGAAUGAUGAUUUGAUCUUGAAGAUAUUGUUGUACCAGUGUGACCGAGUUUAUCAUCCAGUAGGACAAAGGAAUCUCCAACUGCACCUGCAUAUGAACAAGAGAGAAUUUAUUCCUAUAUCUUCAGGCAUUCAUCUUUCUUCUAGGAACUACAUCAGAUCUUGCAGUUGCCUAAUGAAAUGUCAUCCCAAACAAUCAGGCUAGCUCUACUAUAAGUGUCUCUUUCUUAAAUAUUGUAAGGAAAAAUAGUAUGUCCUUUUUUAUUCUCUCCAAAUCAGAGUAUAUCUAGAGUCACAUUGUAGAA